rnacentral:rRNA from 1 species
UACGGAGGGGGCAAGCGUUGUUCGGAAUUACUGGGCGUAAAGGGCUCGUAGGUGGCCAACUAAGUCAGACGUGAAAUCCCUCGGCUUAACCGGGGAACUGCAUCUGAUACUGGAUGGCUUGAGAUUGGGAGAGGGAUGCGGAAUUCCAUGUGUAGCGGUGAAAUGCGUAGAUAUAUGGAGGAAUACCAGUGGCGAAGGCGGCCUCCUGGCUCGAUACUGACGCUGAGGUGCGAAAGCGUGGGGAGCAAACAGG